rnacentral:rRNA from 1 species
UUUGAUCCUGGCUCAGUUGAACGCUGGCGGGAUGCUUUACAUGCAAGUCAGGCAGCGCUGGACUUCGGUCUGGUGGCAGUGGCGAACGGUGAAAUGACCAGCGUCGGAACGUGCCUAGUAGCGGGGGAUAACUACGCGAAAGCGUAGCUAAUACCGCAUACGCCCUUCGAGGCAGGGGACCUUCGGGCCACUCGCACUAUUCGAGCAACCCGAUAUCGGAUUAGCUAGUUGGUGGGGUAACGGCUCACCAAAGGCGACGAUCCGUAGCUGGUUUGAGAGGACGACCAGCCUGGGACUGAGACACGGCCCAGACUCCUACGGGAGGCAGCCCAGUGGGAAUUUUGGACAAUCAGGAAACCUGAUCCAGCCAUCCGCGUGUUAGGUCGAAGGCGCUUCGGGUUAUAGCUUUCUUUUGGCGGGAAAGAAACGGCACGGGAUAAUACCCCGUGCAACUGACAUUACCUGCAGAAUAAGCACCGGCUAACUACGUGCCAGCAGCCGCGGUAAUACGAGGUGCAAGCGUUAAUCGGAAUUACUGGGCGUAAAGCGUGCGCAGGCGGUUCGGAAAGAGAAAGAUGUGAAAUCCCGAAGCUUAACUUUGGAACUGCAUUUUUAACUACCGAGCUAGAGUGUGUGUCCAGAGGUGGAAUUCCCGCGUCUUAACGGUGAAAUGCGUAGAUAUGCGGAGGAACACCGAUGGCGAAGAGCGGCCUCCUCAGGAUAACACUGACGCUCAUGCACGAAGCGUGGGAGCAAACAGGAUUAGAUACCCUGGUAGUCCACGCCCUAAACGAUGUCAACUAGCUGUUGGGGCCUUCGGGCCUUGGUAGCGCAACUAACGCGUGAAGUUGACCGCCUGGGAAGUACGGUCGCAAGAUUAAAACUCAAAGGAAUUGACGGGGACCCGCACAAGCGGUGGAUGAUGUGGAUUAAUUGAUGCAACGCGAAAAACCUUACCUACCCUUGACAUAUCUGGAAUCCGAAGAGAUUUACAGGUGCUCGCAAGAGAACCGGAACUUCAGGUGCUGCAUGGCUGUCGUCAGCUCGUGUCGUGAGAUGUUGGGUUAAGUCCUGGCAGGCGCAGCCCUUCAUCAUUAGUCGCUACGAAAGGGCACCCUAAUGAGACUGCCGGUGACAAACCGGAGGAAGGUGGGGAUGACGUCAGUCCUCAUGGCCCUUAUGGUGAACUACACGUCAUACAAUGGUCGGGACAGAGGGUCGCCAACCCGCGAGGGGGCAAUCCCGAAACUUGAUCGUAGUCGGAUCGCAGUCUGCAACUCGACUGCGUGAAGUCGGGAUCGCUGGCUUAAUCGCGGAUCAGCAUGUCGCGGUGAAUACGUUCCCGGGUCUUAUGCAGCACCGCCCGUCACACCAUGGGAGUGGGUUUUACCAGAAGUAGUUAGCCUAACCGUAAGGGCGAUUACCACGGUAAGUUCAUGGCUGGGGUGGUCAGUAACAAAGUAAGGACACACCGUGCACCUGGUGCUCCAG